AGUCCUGUAGCUUAGUGGUUGGAGCACUCACCUCAGAAGCGAGAGGACCUGGGUUCGAAUCCCGGCAGGGCGA